CUUGACUUGAAUAUUGACUUUUUCUUGUGACUUUAGCUGAAGAGCUGUGAGAUGUGGCAACCUGACGAUAGCUUUGGUUUCUGGACUCAAAUAACUAGGAAAUGUCAGAAACAGUGGAAUCCUCGCCUGCUGAUAUUAAAGGCCUUCCUCAGCUCUUUCCUUUGCAACGUACUCUAACCUCAAGGGACAAAGAGGCAGGCAGGCAGGGAGUGUGCAUCUUCAGACAAAUCUACAAGGAGCUUUGCAACAGGAUCACAAGAGGCAGAGGGGAGAGCCAACAUUCCAGUGAACAUUUUGGCUCUGAUUCUUAACUUCUCCAUUGUUGCCUUGAACCUGGAUGACGAGUUUUAUUUUUCCAGUCUACAUGCAAGUCUCAUUCUGUUAGUAAAGCAUGAUUAUCCAAAUGUCUUUUCAGCUAUGCAUAGCAUUUUGGAACUGUUAGGUGGUGCAAGCUUUCCUAAAUCAAUGCUAAGAAUGCUUCCUUUUUUCUCUGGUGAAGUCCUAUGAUGCUUCACAUUUCAUUAACAUACUUCAAACAUGUCAUUCUCUGACAACACUUGUACUCCUAAUACAAUAGUCAUGUAUGUACAGAAGGUGUGAGAACAAAGCUUUGAAAUGGAGUAUGCACCUGAAAGAAAGUGAGGAUAUCUUCAUGACUGCAUACAGAGUAAGAAUGGCAAUAUGUACAUAUAUAAAGAUAAGAAUGUAAGAAAACCUAUUAGAUCAGACCAGUGGUCUGUCUUGCCAGUCCCUGGCAAUCUCUUGCCAAUCCCCUGUGUCUCACAGCGUGGGAAAAAGAUGAUGUUAUUUAGGGACAGAACAUGAGCCUACCCACAUUCUGUUUUCCCAGUGUCCAGUCCUGAAGAAGUAAGGUUAUUAGAAUAUAUACCCCCCAUAUAAUCCUUCUAGUAUCCCCUUAUGUCGAUGGAAUGGUUGGUUUCAUUUACUUGAUCAUUACACUAACAGCAAGCAAGCUUUCCUUAGAAUAUUGCAAUGAUAAUUUCAUUAUCAAAAUGCUCUGCAGGACAAAAAAAUAAUAAUAAUAAAAAAAUCCUUCUUAGAAUUUUACGCA
ensembl:lncRNA